rnacentral:lncRNA from 1 species
GAUUCAAAAUAUUGGAAUGAUUAAAUCGGGCCCAAACAACAAAUAAUGUAAAGUAUGAGUGUAAGUGCAAGAGAACUGGCUCAUUGUAAGAAAGCCCAAGAGUAAGCUAUGUGAGGUUGAUGGCGAUGCUUAAAAAGCAAUCGACUUACACGGGUUUGAAAAUGGGCUCGAUAUUAAAUCGAGAAAAGUAUGAUUUUUAUAGUUUUAAAAAUGGUUUUGCAUGUAUGAUGAAAUUAAUAAUGAAGCAUGGACAUAAAAAAGGUAUUAAAAGAAACAAAGUGCUAAAAGAUAGUGAAAUACUAAAAAAUGAAAUGCUAAAAAAAGAAAUAAAAUACUAAAAAAAAAGAAAUACUAAAAAUGCUAUCUACGAGUAUCGAACCCACUCCUCUUGAGAC